UCCCGCAAUAUAUAUUAUCACGAAUAUUUAGUUAUCCCGCAAUAUAGCCCCUGCCAAAAAGGUGAUUAAGGUUUUUUUAGUAAAUAUUGAUUGUUGCGUGCCCAUUUUUCUAUUUUCAUGAAAAAAGUCAAAGAAAAUUAAAUUUUAUUCAUAAAUCCAUUUUUGGGCCGCCCCUGCCAUAUAGGUGAUUAUGGUUUUUUUAGGAUUUAUUGAUUGAUUCUUGCCCAUUUUUAAAUUUACAUGAAGAAAAUCAAAGAAAAAUAAAUUGUAUCCAU